rnacentral:rRNA from 1 species
UGGAGCAUGUGGUUCAAUUCGACGCAACGCGCAAAACCUUACCUGGGCUAGAAAUGACAGGAACCUGGUUGAAAGAUCGGGGUGCCUUCGGGAAUCUGUUGUUAGGUGCUGCAUGGCUGUCGUCAGCUCGUGUCGUGAGAUGUUGGGUUAAGUCCCGCAACGAGCGCAACCCUUGCCGUUAGUUGCCAGCAUUCAGUUGGGCACUCUAACGGGACUGCCGACCUUCAAGUCGGAGGAAGGUGGGGAUGACGUCAAGUCCUCAUGGCCCUUACGUCCAGGGCUACACACGUGCUACAAUGGCCGGUACAGUGGGUUGCGACACAGCGAUGUGAAGCCAAUCCCGAAAAGCCGGUCUCAGUCCGGAUUGGAGUCUGCAACUCGACUCCAUGAGGUUGGAAUCGCUAGUAAUCGCGGAUCAGCACGCCGCGGUGAAUACGUUCCCGGGCCUU